rnacentral:rRNA from 1 species
GAUGAACGCUGGCGGCGUGCCUAAUACAUGCCAGUCGAGCGAACAGACGAGGAGCUUGCUCCUCUGACGUUAGCGGCGGACGGGUGAGUAACACGUGGAUAACCUACCUAUAAGACUGGGAUAACUUCGGGAAACCGGAGCUAAUACCGGAUAAUAUAUUGAACCGCAUGGUUCAAUAGUGAAAGACGGUAUUGCUGUCACUUAUAGAUGGAUCCGCGCCGCAUUAGCUAGUUGGUAAGGUAACGGCUUACCAAGGCGACGAUGCGUAGCCGACCUGAGAGGGUGAUCGGCCACACUGGAACUGAGACACGGUCCAGACUCCUACGGGAGGCAGCAGUAGGGAAUCUUCCGCAAUGGGCGAAAGCCUGACGGAGCAACGCCGCGUGAGUGAUGAAGGUCUUCGGAUCGUAAAACUCUGUUAUUAGGGAAGAACAAAUGUGUAAGUAACUAUGCACGUCUUGACGGUACCUAAUCAGAAAGCCACGGCUAACUACGUG